UUUUGUGGGGAAGGUCCAUUAAAACCUUUCUAGCUCCUGCACAAAGACAAAACCAUAGAGGAAAGCACUCAGAAAGGAGCAGGAUGAGGGAAUGCAAAGAAAAGGCAAAUGAGGGAAGCGUUGAAAGAACCUCUUCCAGUGGCAGCAGGGAGGGAGGGGAGACAGUUGAAGUUAGAAGAUGCUUUGCUGUAUUCACCAAGUCUUCAAAACAAGAGCACUGAAGUACUGGGGACUGUUUCUCCUUGACUUUUUAGCCUUGAUACAAUGGCCACAAAGAAGAGCUCUUCACAAUCGAAGCUUGUUAUGUUUGCUUUGCCAUCAUCCACCAUAAAGUCUGGAAUACAACCUUCUUCCCUUUUCAGUAAACAUCUACUGAGUAAAUCACA
rnacentral:antisense_RNA from 1 species